AGUCUUAUAUUCAAAUGUGAUGAUAUUAAAUUGCAAAUUUAAAGUUAGGGGUGCCCUUAAGGCUU
rnacentral:tRNA from 1 species